GUGACAGAAGAGAGUGAGCACACAUGGAUUUUCUUGCAAAAUAAUCAAUUUAGCCUCAUGUAUGCUUGAAACUAUGUGUGCUCACCCUCUAUCUGUCAC
rnacentral:pre_miRNA from 1 species